GCAACAUCCAGUUUGGAAAGAACGAGGAAACAGGCCCCAAAAGAGAAGUAAAAGAAAGGAAAGGAAGAAAACCAAGAGGACACAAGGACGAGCACGUUUAUGAAAACACCGUCGUCAGGAACUAAUCUUUCCGGUAACUACGGAUACCGAUGACAUCACGCGACUCGGACACCUAUCUGUGUCAUCGAUUAGUGUUUGCCAUAUAUGUACAUUAGUAUGUAGAUUCUUUACUGUUCGUAUUACCCCGAACUAAUACAAC